AAAACGACUCUCGGUAACGGAUAUCUCGGCUCUCGCAUCGAUGAAGAACGUAGCGAACUGCGAUACUUGGUGUGAAUUGCAGAAUCCCGUGAACCAUCGAGUCUUUGAACGCAAGUUGCGCCCGAAGCCAUUAGGCCGAGGGCACGUCUGCCUGGGCGUCACGC
rnacentral:rRNA from 1 species